GCCGAGGUGGCGAAAUUGGCAGCCGCGAUAGGUUUAGGACCUAUUGCCGAAAGGCUUGUGGGUUCGAAUCCCACCCUCGGCA
rnacentral:tRNA from 1 species